rnacentral:rRNA from 1 species
AUUGAACGCUGGCGGCACGCCUAACACAUGCAAGUCGAGCGGCAGCGAGACUAGUAGCAAUACUAGUUGUCGGCGAGCGGCGGACGGGUGAGUAACACGUAGGAAUCUGCCCUUAAGCGGGGGAUAACCAAGGGAAACUUUGGCUAAUACCGCAUAAUCUCGAGAGAGCAAAGCUGCCCGCAAGGGUGGCACUUGAGGAGGAGCCUGCGUCCGAUUAGCUAGUUGGUGGGGUAAUGGCCUACCAAGGCGAUGAUCGGUAACUGGUCUGAGAGGACGACCAGUCACACUGGGACUGAGACACGGCCCAGACUCCUACGGGAGGCAGCAGUGGGGAAUAUUGGACAAUGGGGGCAACCCUGAUCCAGCGAUGCCGCGUGAGUGAAGAAGGCCUUCGGGUCGUAAAGCUCUUUAGGUUGGGAAGAAGGGUAUUGGUUGAAUAAUCCAGUACUUUGACGGUACCGACAGAAUAAGCACCGGCAAACUCUGUGCCAGCAGCCGCGGUAACAC